rnacentral:rRNA from 1 species
CCUACGGGAGGCUGCAGUGAGGAAUAUUGGUCAAUGGGCGGAAGCCUGAACCAGCCAAGUAGCGUGCAGGAUGACGGCCCUACGGGUUGUAAACUGCUUUUAUACGGGAAUAACGCGCCUUACGUGUAGGGCUUAGCGAGAGUACCUGAAGAAAAAGCAUCGGCUAACUCCGUGCCAGCAGCCGCGGUAAUACGGAGGAUGCGAGCGUUAUCCGGAUUUAUUGGGUUGAAAGGGUGCGUAGGCGGAAUAUCAAGUCAGCGGUAAAAAUUCGGGGCUCAACCCCGUCGUGCCGUUGAAACUGAUGUUCUUGAGUGGGCGAGAAGUAUGCGGAAUGCGUGGUGUAGCGGUGAAAUGCAUAGAUAUCACGCAGAACUCCGAUUGCGAAGGCAGCAUACCGGCGCCCAACUGACGCUGAAGCACGAAAGCGUGGGUAUCGAACAGGAUUAGAUACCCCAGUAGUC